rnacentral:tRNA from 1 species
GUCCGAGUGGCGGAAUCGGUAGACGCGCUAGCUUGAGGUGCUAGUGCCUAAUUUAAACGGGCGUAGGGGUUCAAGUCCCCUCUCGGACA